CCUCGGCGCGGCGGCGGCUCCUUCCGCUUCCUUCCCCUCCCCCCCGCGCUGCGGCGGCGCCCGCGCGCGGCAGCGCCCCCUGCCGGCGGAGCGCGGCGCGGCCGGGGCAGAUUCCCACGGCCCUGUGAAGGUGCGGUUGAGCAACAAGAGCUGGCGGAAUCCAAGAGGCAGCGCUUUUCCCCCCAUCGCUGCCCCACAGUCUCUCCUCCUGCCCGCUCUGGUGCUCACCUACACACAGGGUAAACCAGCAGGGACUUCCUAAACCACCAAGAAGCUGUUCCCGUUCCCGGUGUGUUAGUUUUCAGCUACAAAUUACCUGCACUGGCUCUCCGUGGGGCUGAGGAGAGGCAGCGUGUGAGACACGGGGAGGAGCGAACCCAUCCUCCUUUGGCAGCAGGAACGUUUUGGCAACGGCGUUAAACCAGUCAAACUGUAUUGUCUAACCACACCCUGCACCAGGAUUUGCCUUGAAUUCACUUAAAUAUUACGCUCUGGCUUCUUGCCUAAGCAGCAGUAAUGCCUAGUGAUGGGAAGGUAACAAAGAGCAACUGUUCAUGGUGUGGUGUUUCUUUCAGAUAAUGGUUCGUGCCAAGGAAAGGGAUAUUCCAUAUUCCCCACCUCUGCAUGCCCCCUUCUUUUCCCUGGAUUUAAUCCAGCCAUUGUGUGUCUACAGGAUAGUUCGGCUCUGUUGGCCUUGCAGAGGAAAAUUAACAAUAGGCAGAAAAGAAAAAAGCAGCCCAUGUGUAGUAAGGACUGAGAUCCAGCAGGCUUAAUAAGACCUCCACCCAAGAAGAUUUACAUUUAAACCUGGAGAAAGCUGCUUGCUUGGAAGCUGGCUGAGGCUCUACAUCCAUUCUGAUGUCCCCACUCGUGCAAUCCUUCCCCAAAGUAUCCUACAGCAGGAUUAAAUCAUUCCUAAGGGUAAAGGAACAUGCUCCUGCCUAGCAGCACCAUAUUGCCUUCUCCAACACAUUUUCACUUCCAGUUGGUCUCCCAUGCUCCUCAUACACCCUUCCCAAACUAUAUAUUCAUACUCCUGAUUCUCGUGGCCACAGCUUCCUCUGUGCUACAGCAUCUGCCUUGUACCAGUAACUGGUAGUUGUGUUUAUUAUGGGCAGCCUUGAGUAUUCCUCAUUUAUAGGGCAAUAACGAAUCCUCUGGCCUCAUCAAUGCUGGUAGUGGGAAAAAGAAAUACCAACCACAAAAACUGAACCACAACAGAACCACCUCCUAUUCUGAUCAAGGGAUAAUGGUGUUAGUGACAGCUUUUAGGCAAGUUAUAAUGAGAGAAGGUGAAAAAUAGUAGAUCAGCCCCCUCCCAAGUCAGCACUUUCCACAAAAUCAGGAGCUGAGAUGCUAUUUUAUAUCCCUCCAUGUCACUGAAACCUCAGCUCACGUUCAUGCAUGAAGUGCCCAAGACUGCAAGGACCAAGGUUCCUGCUUUCAGCAGCAACAUCGGUUUCUAUCUAUCCAAAUAAAACUGCUUCAUUGCUUCUCCUGUACUUAGAGCAAAUAUUUUAUUUACCACCCCCCCCCCCCCAAGAUUAACAAGGGUUAGAACCCAGGGCAAUUGAGAAGUUGCUCCUAAGGACACCUGGGUCAGUUGUGUGGCAGCUCUGCUCUCUUCACCCCGUGCCCCAGAGCAGCACUAACAAGCUGUUCCUGCUCCUGUCCUUGGCCACAGCUCUGGAGCUACCCUGGCUCUUAAACAGGGCACACAGGACAGGGGAGAUUAGAGCUGAGUUCAGCCCCAGAGGCUUAUCUGGUCUGGCUCAAGGGAAGCUGGACUGGCCUGGCUGGUCGUGUGGAAUCACUCCUGUGGCUGCACAGGGAGAAUUUUCCUAAAGCCAGCUCAGGGGCUGUCAGGUCAACAUCCACAGCAUGGCCCAAACCCAACACACCAUCCUGGGCUGGAUGGGAGUUGGCUCAGCACAACAUUCAGAAGUCUCUCUCUAAUUAUUUUACCAUCUCAGUAAUUUUAAAUUUUUUUUUUAAGUUGGCACGUUGGAUCUUGUAUUUACGUAUUUUUGAAAGGAAAAAAAAAAGCAUUUGCAUUCUUGUAGAUAGUUACAGAAAAUAAAGUUACAAAAGGAAAGGUUUUGUUGAGCCAGAAAGAAACAAAAAAAAAAAUUAACAGUUAAAACCAUUUUCUGCUUAGAUAUGCUAUGCAUCCUUCCACAGAAUCACUUCAUGAUUUGUUAUAGCUCCUCUGUUUUGCUCUCAGUUCUGCCUGCUGUAUUCCCUGCACAGCCCUACACUCUGAGUUUUUUUUUCCCCAUUCAUGCUACCAUAUAUACAGAACAAAGGCUGGAUUGCCCUUAAGAUUAUAAUCAACAAAGUGUUCUCUGUUUCACCUGAAGCAAAACGCUUAGAUAAAUAAUUUUGGUUUGUGUCUAACCUUUAACGAAAUGAAAACAAUUCUGCCUGAAGACACACUCCACUGACUCACUCAGGUGUGGUUUCAGUAGCCAGUUUACAUCAGAGACUACAGGCUUUUUGCCAUAACUUUUAUUAAAAUUUAGUGCCAUGGUAACAAAAUGCAUGCAUUUAGUAUUAUUUUUACUGCAUGAAAUACUACUUGGACAAAGACUUUACAGUAGUAUGGAAGUCAGCAUGUCAAAAAUAAUAAUAAAAUAUUACUAAACACAUAAUUGAAAAAAUGCAAUUGUGGCAAAUUGCACAUAAUUGUAUUUGGUCAUCUGGUCUAAUAUCCACUAAAAAUAAAUCCACUCCAGCCACAAAUUUAGAAUGCCUGGUUUUUAUGAUUAUUUUUUGUUUGUUUCUUCUGGGUGGGAACAAGGUAGGGGGAAACAAGUUUUAGCUCUUUGUUAAAGAGAAUGAAUCUCCAGUCACUGAGAAAGGAUAAGUACAUUGGACAAUUCAGGAGUCUGACAACCCACCCAGGUCACUGAGAGUUGAUUUUGGUUACUGGAAUAUGUGAUAUUCCAUGUUGAAAAAGCAAGUUGCCAAUCACAAAAGCUAAACAAAUUUCAGAAGUUAUUAGUUUAUUUACAUUUUAUGCCUGUAUAUUUAAAACAGCAGCAAUCUAAUCCAAAUUGGUCCAAGAGGUUGCAGUGAAGUAAUCUGAUACUUAUUUGUAAUAAUUAAAUGAAUUAGACUAUAUUCAGUACCAUGUAUAACCACUCCUCACAUAUGAGGCAUUCCCAUUUAAAUGGCUUUUUCUAAUUUCAGUAGAGGCUUCAAAGCCAGGUAGAUAUGAAAUGCCAGCUAGAUUGUAGCACAUUAUUGAAAAAAAAUCCAGAUUGGAAUUUAUUAAACAUAAAAGCAGCACACCUUUGCUCUUCAGAAUAUAUUCUUCUUCUCAGUUGAGUGAGGUUUUAUAUUUCAAAACUGAAAUACUGCUAAGAUAUUUCAACAAACCGUAUUUUUAUUUGCUUUACUGCUGCUACUUUGAGCACGUCAUUAUUCCAGGGCAUAACACUUGACUCCAGCUUCAAGAAAACAGCAAGAACCUGGAAGUCUCUGGAACAUUUCACAAUGUGAAACAGGAGUUUUGCCUAAAUGGGAUUAGAGUGGGAGCUGGAACUCCAUGGGCACGGUGUUUCCUCAGCUGCCUGACUGCAGUGUUCACAUCAGCACUGAGCUAUCUUACUCGAGGAGUUUUACCCUGACAGAUGUUAUGAACUCCUGUCCAAACACUCACUUUUAUCUUUCCUUUCUCCUUUAGAAGCUUCCCUUUGUUACCUGAUUGGAGCACUCUUAGGUAUUAGUGUUCUGCACUAAUACUCUGAAUUAUGUAUAACCUACAUAAAGACGUGUCAGGUCACAGAAUAUCCCUGUUACUGUUUUGACUGCCUUGCAUAUUCCUUCAGCUUCUACAGCACAGUAAAGGGCUCCAUUGUUACUCCAAACUGAACAGUAUGUAGUAUGUUCAAUAUAAACCAGAAGAACAUAAAUUAGCACUUUUCAAGGAAGAUGUAGGUGUUUAAAUAAAAUAAAUAAAUAAAUCAAUAAAUAUCUGGCAUAUUUCUGCCUUUAGGCACAUUCACUCCUAUCAGAAAGGUUGUUUUAAGACAAGCCUAGCUUGUGAUUAGGGCCCUCUCAUACAGGAUGUGAAAGAUUUAAAUAAAAUUUCAAACCAAUGGCCAUCAUACAGGAGUGGGGCCCAGCACUGCUGACAGUCUGAGAAGGGGAGAUCCCUGUUCAGGGCUCAGAUCCAGAGUGCAGGGGAGGCACUGCUCACAUUUAGGUUAAAAGUGUGACCAGGAAACUUCCCGUGUUCUGGAGAAGGUUUGCAGAGCAGAAGGCCACAAAGUGCCUCCCUGAUCUGUCUCUUUUUCAGCAUCUCCAGCCAGAGCCCAGGCAGAGCAGGCUCUGCACUGAGUGUGCAAAGCCAAGGUCACACAACGAGUUCAGAUUACUCCUGACCCAGUUUAAGAGACAGAUUAUCUCCACUACACUGCUUGGUUGGAAAGCAAAUUAAUUACCCUCCAAACAAAUGAGGUAAGAAAGAGCACACUUCCCUUGCUAAAAAUUAUUCAGAAGACAGCUCACUCAAAGAAGAGUUCACAGCUAUAAAAAACCCCAGAGGUGAGGAGUUAGAACAGCCUUUCACAGGCCAAGGGCAGCAAUAAAUGUCUUAUUUCUUGCUUCUACAGUUAAAGUGUAAACCUCAGUACUGGCCUAAAGAUUUAAUUGAAAAUACUGACUGAAUUAAGAGUUGCCAGUUGAUUAGCAUUUCGGUGUGUGUGAGUGUUUUUCCUUUGAUACAACUGAAAAAUCUCAAAGUAAUCUUUUGGUCUCAAAGAGAAAAGUGUGUGUAUUGGUGGGAACAAAAAUGCAUUCACAGCGUGUGAGCAAGGGCUGCAUCUCUGAUCAUCUGGGUUUGGCAUUUGAACAGACACCCAGGGGAAGUGGUGGGGGGGGGGAAAAAAAGCAAUGUAUCCCCAUGGUAACCAGGACAUCUUGUUUUAGCAUGUACAUUAAAAAAGCACACUGGACAGAACAAAAUUAGUCAUCCAGAAAAAUAUUCAUUUCUGGGCAAAGCUAUGCAUGAACAAUGAAAAUGAAAAGCUCUUGGCAGUGUCCUGUGAGAUAUGAGACAAAAAUGGCUAUUUUUCAUUUUUGACAGCUGACAAUUUCAGUUUUUUCUUACUCGUAUGAAUCAAAUGCCUCCUCUCCUCUGCUCUCUUUAUUCUUCUCAACAAAGUACUUUUAGAUUUACUUUCUCCUGAGGUAA